AUGUUUCUCUCAAUCAACAAGAGAAGCGUUCAACCUUUUUAUUUGAGCAGUCAAAGUAUACGGGCUAUCGUACCGAUCUACAUCUUCCUUUUAAAGUUAACAGCCUAUGCAUUCACCCACAAUUCAACUAAUUCCUUCUUAGCAUUGGAAUUUUUUCGCUCAAUGGUUUCACACCUCUUCCUCAGCUUAUCUCGUUCCCUUGAAAUGUCGCCAAACUCCAGAACAUCGUCAUGGCCAGCAACUACCAUGGAAACAAGGGAUUCAAUCCAAAACAAAGUACGAGAAGCAUCUGUAAAAAAGGAUUCAUGUGACAGUGACUGA